GCUUGGCGUCAUACCGCGUAUAAUAAACCAGUUCUCGUCCGAUCACUGAAGUCAAACUAUGACGGGCGGUACUUACAUGGGCGACCGGCUGGGAAUACCUCUUGCGCUAAGCA
rnacentral:rRNA from 1 species